AUUAUGGUUCAGUUUUAAUGUAGAAUUUAUUGAGGAAAUCAUAUUUCUAGUUCUUUUAGAAUUUUACUUAUAUGUCUAUUUAAAUAUAUUAGCUGUUGGUCUUUUAUUUAAGACAGAGGGAUAAUUUUUUAAUCUCAUAUUUGGUGGAAAGAUCUAGAUUUCUAUAGGACUUCAUUUAGAGUGCUUCUUGGUUAAGGGUUGCUCAGAGGUUAAGGUUUACUUUUAAGAGUCCAAAUCCUUGAUUGGUAAUUAUUACUUUUUGAGUCUAUAAAUAACCAUUUUUGUAAUGUUGUUGGACAGUUUUUAAUCAAUAUGAAUUCUGGCAAUUUUUCUUCAAGUUGUGUGAUGCAAUUCAAUCCUAGGUGUGAUGCCAAAGAAAGUUUAGGUGUGAAGCUAAACCUUUUAUUUUACUGUUCA
rnacentral:misc_RNA from 1 species